AUCUACACUGAAAUGGCCAAAUUUGGGGUUCCACCUCCCAAAUUCCCUAUAUCCAAGGGUUGCUUUCAGACAAAAGCUACCAGGGCAAAGAGGUCUGGCUGGCCUAGACCUCUGAUGGCAGCCUUUCAUCUGCCCCUGAAACACCGGUGUUCUGUGCUUUCCUUCCUUUGGAAAAAAAACCAUCAUUCAACUCCAGGUGUCCAUGUCUGAAAUUGGGAUUCCACCUCUAAAAUUCCCUAUAUCCAACGGUUGCUCCCAGACAAAAUCUGCCAGUACCAUCAAGCCUGGCUGGCCUUGGCCUCUGGUGGCUGCCCCUGCCACACUGGGGCUUGGUUCUUUCCUUCCCAUGGAGAUCACUGUGACACUGUGGGCACCUCAUGGAACCAAGGGGAUCAUUGUGGCACCACUGGAGCCCAUGGAACCAAGGGGCCAUGGUGACACCGCGGGGCUUCAUGGACCCAGAGACCAUUAUGACUCUGUGGGGCCUGAUGGAACCAUGGAGACCAUUCCGACCCUUCAGGGCCUGGUGUCACCAAGGGGGCAUUGUGACACCUCAGGGCCUCCUGGAAGCAAGGGACCAUUGGGACACUGUGGGGCCCCAUGGAACUGAGGGAACAUGGAACAGGUCUGGCUGGCUUGGCCUCCCAGGAGCCACCUGACAGGUCUGGCUGAUCUUGGGAUGUCAAUGCCUGCCUCUCAUCAGCUCCUGGAGCAAUGGGGCUCUGUGCUCUCCUUUGUAUGGAAAAGAACCGUCUGUCUUUUCUGAUGCCCCUUGCCAAAACUGACACUCUGCCUAAAAAAUUUCCUAUAUUCAAGGGUAUCUCUAAGAACAGAAUCUGGCAGCUCUGGCUGGCCUUGUCCUCUGGUGGUCACCUCUCAUUUGCCCCUAAAACAGUGGGGCUCUGUUCCUUCAUUCCUAUGGAAAAGAACUGGUCUUCAUGUCCAGGAACCAUGGCCAAAAUUAGAAUUGGCCACUGAGCCCGGCCGGGCUCACGGAACCAUCUGCAGGCCCCGGGCAGAUAUUGACUCUGCCAGUGCUGCCAUCCUCCCUCCAGUGAGAGAAAAGGACACAGGGCAGGCACACAGAGGAGCAACAUGAAGACACCGAGGCAUUGAAAAGUAUGGGGAGAUGACUUGUUUCAGCAAAGGCCUCCAUGUAAAAGUAAGCAAAUGUUGAAGUAGCUGAGAUCCCAUGAGAAGUUUGAACAGAGAAAGAGAGCAGAGUGAUGAGACCCUGUGCCCUCAGGGAGAGAAGAAGACCUCUGUUCCCAGAGAUGAUUUCAGAAGCAGUUGAAGAGAACCUCUGGUCUUGAACAACUCAUCUUUAAACUAAUACCCCAUAAGCUGACAUGGCCCAUAAACACAGCUGUGGGAAAAGCUGUGAAAAAAUGGCAGGGAUUUCACUAUUUCACUUUUUCCGAGUGGCUGCUAUUCAUGGAACUUGAGAGCCACAAGAGAACUGUUUCCUUAUGGAGAAGUCUCCAUAGCAAGAAAAAGAGACUCCUCUCCCUAAGUGAAGUGAAGCAGGACUAUUCUAGAGGUGGUAAACUGACUGAAAAUUUUAGGUUUUGUCUCCUUACAUUGUCAAUAAGGAAGAAAAAGUUGUGGCGAGAAGAAGAGUGUUCUGAAAGUUUUGUGCUGAUUCUUAUUACUCUUUCUUUUAGUUACUGCUAAUAAACUUUUCUUUAUGC